UCAUGAUAUAUGAAAAGGGUGAGAAAUUCAGAUUAAAUAUAUCAAUAGGUUGAUAUUAUCACUUGCUGAUUAUAUCAUAAGUAUCUGAAACUAAUCAAAUGUUCGUGUUUAUUUUUGAUGCGGUUAAACCACAGUCGUAAAUGCAUCAGCUAUUUGUCAAACCAAUUAAACUCUAUUUAUUCAAUGUGGUAUUUCCACUGAGGUUAGUUAUAGAUGCAAUAAAUCCAAUCAUUUUGACAUUUCCACCUAAUUAACAUUGAAAGGUUUCUAUACAUGAAACAUUUAAAAACAUUCCAUAGCAUAGUGUCAGCGUCCUUCGAGAGGGAACGGCAAAUCAGUUUUUAAUUAAUGUUAAACUCAGUAAAAGUGAUACUAUCUGAAGUAUGACUACAUUUAUCUGACAAAACAUAUGUUAUUGUCUUUUGAAAUUGAAAUUUCUUCAUAAUUAAAGAUAUAAAAGGGGCAAAUAGCACUGGCAAAUAGAGGAGUGAAGAAUUUAUUGGAAAAGCAAGGUGUGAUUAUUGCGACUGCGUUGCUUCUAAACAAGAACGUAAAAUGAGCGGGACCGCAAAAAUUUUUGUAAAUACUAAUGUACAAGAAGAUGAAAAAUGUCCAAAUAUAUCUAUAGGUCUGUUUUUUGUUCAUUAAUAUAUGACAAGGUAUAUAUUUUUGAUAAACAAAAUAUAUGAAAAGGGUGGGGUACUUGAUGUCUCAGCUGCUCACCCCUACCAAAAAAAGUUUGAAGUGGCCCCCCAGAGCGAUAUUC
rnacentral:lncRNA from 1 species